rnacentral:rRNA from 1 species
GUGCAGCAGGCGAGAAAACUUCACAAUGUGCGAAAGCACGAUGAGGGAAUCCCAAGUGCUUGCACGUAAGUGUAAGCUGUUUCUCUGUCUAAAACGCAGAGAGAGUAAGGGCUGGGUAAGACGGGUGCCAGCCGCCGCGGUAAUACCUGCAGCUCGAGUGGUGACCGUUAUUAUUGGGGCCUAAAACGUCCGUAGCCGGUUUAAUAAAUGCCUGGGUAAAUCGGACCGCUUAACGGUUCGAAUUCCGGGUAGACUGUUAAACUUGAGACCGGGAGAAGUUAGAGGUACUCCUGGGGUAGAGGUGAAAUUCUGUAAUCCGUAGGGGGACCACCAGUGGCGAAGGCGUCUAACUAGAACGGGUCUGACGGUGAGGGACGAAGCCCUGGGGCGC